GCUUUUAUUAUAUGCAUAGGAUGAAAUGAUGAACAUGAUAAAUAUUUACUUAAAAUAUAAACAUAGAAACAUGAACAAAAGAUUAAAACAUAAAUCAGGGAUUUAUAAAUUCAUCUUUAAAAAGAUUUACAACUAAAGAUUUUCCUUUCGGAAAGUCCCUAAAGUUCUAAAAUAAACUUAAAGAAAUACAAGAAUACCUUAAAUAUUCACAAGGAUGAUUCAGCUAUACAAUGAUUUUUUGGAUUGAGAAUUUUUCUGAGAAAAGUUUCAAAAGGUUUUUUGGAUAGCAGAGAAU
rnacentral:lncRNA from 1 species